rnacentral:rRNA from 1 species
CCGGCGACCGGCGCACGGGUGAGUAAUACGUAUGAAACCUGCCCGUAGCAGGGGGAUAAGCGGAAGAAAUUCCGUCUAAUACCGCGUAACAACCCAUGGAGGCAUCUCUGUGGGUUUAAAGGAAGCGAUUCCGGCUACGGAUGGUCAUGCGUCGCAUUAGCUUGUUGGCGGGGUAACGGCCCACCAAGGCGACGAUGCGUAGGGGUUCUGAGAGGAAGGUCCCCCACACUGGUACUGAGACACGGCCCAGACUCCUACGGGAGGCAGCAG